rnacentral:rRNA from 1 species
AUGCGGCGUCCCGCACCCUUCCUCGCCAGAACCGGCCGGCCCAAACCCUUCAUCACAACUCCGUCCGCUUCUCUGCCUCCCUCGAGCGAGCAUAGCUGUCGCGGCCACCACUCCUCCACCUUGCCGCGCUGUUGUCGUCAUUGUCGCUUUCCAUGCCGGUCCUCCCAGCCCCGGGCGACCUCGUGUGGGUGCUGCCAUGGACGAGUACACAACUCGAGCUUGCCUCCUCCCCCUCCGUCCCUUGCUCGAACACCGCCGCCGCCAGCCAAGCUCUGCCCCGGCGAGCCUCCUGUUCCUCCUCUUCACUUCCCCGGAGCCACAGGCAUGCUCCUGCUCGAGACGUCGUCGUCGCCUGACAGUGCUCGGAGUCACCAUUGCCAGCGAUGCCGCCGGAUUGCCCUCAACCCCCUCUUUCUUGAUCUCGAUCUACAUAGCCCGGACACGAACUCUGAUGACUUCGAUCUAAAUCAGAGAAGGACAUAA